rnacentral:rRNA from 1 species
UACGUAGGGGGCAAGCGUUGUCCGGAUUUAUUGGGCGUAAAGCGCUCGCAGGUGGUUCGAUGCGUCGUGCGUGAAAGACCCCGGCUCAACUGGGGAGGGUCGUGCGAUACGGUCGAACUGGAGGCCAGUAGGGGGAUGCGGAAUUCCGGGUGUAGUGGUGGAAUGCGUAGAGAUCCGGAGGAACACCAGCGGCGAAGGCGGCAUCCUGGACUGGUCCUGACACUCAUGAGCGAAAGCGUGGGGAGCGAUCCGG